AGAAGAAAUUGGGUGAGGGGUGGGAUGCGGGAGAGUCUGGGUGCCUUCUUGCAUUCUCGGGUUCUCUCUGCCUGGGGGAAGCUUCACCUGGCGGCCAGGUUGGGGGAUCGCCUUCUUUCACCUGAUGGCUGUGCCGAAUGGCACAGUGAGUUAACCCAGAGGAGAGGGCCAAACAGACGAAAAGAUUUCCGGAGGUAAGUUAGAGGAGGUUCCAUAUAAACCAGGAUUAGGUCCCACACUCAAGAGCCCAAAGUGAAAGCUAACAUGAGAGCAAGUAUGAACAAGUCCAGAAUGCUGUGUGCUAUUCCGUGCGCAAUUGCCAUUUCCAUUUUACAACCUCCCGGUCUGGCAUGCUUGUGGGAAAUCAACGUUUCUGGCUUUGCAAGCUGUGCACUAUAGACCAAUAGAGCAGGAACAGUUGAUUAAAACCACUUUCCAAGCUAAUAUGCUCCCUAUUUUCAAGGAGCCCCAAACCCUUUAAAUGACAGCGGAAAGUGGGGGAAUCUCCUUCGGGCAGCAGUAUUGUGUUUUACUCCAAUAUUCCAAUGGAUCUGUGAUCCAACAGUAUAGAUUGCAAUCCUGCCCUGCCUUCUCAGUCUGCUCUUUUCCUCCUCAAAGCUGGCCUCAUAGGCUCCAUCCAGCUUCCAGGAAGCUUUCCUCACCUUCUUCCUUUAGAAUGAUGUUAGUGGGAUUACUCCGGUUGGCCACCUGUUCACCUCUUCCUUGCCAAGUGACCAGUCCAUCAUCUUCCUUAUUUGUGACCCUUAGCUCAAUGGACCAAUUGCAUGGAACUCCAGCUUAUCUUGUACUCCUGGGCUUUGGAGUUCCUUAUUGGCUAAAUGAUGCAGUUUGCUCCCAUUCACUCACUGUCUGUUCUCAUAUUGCCCUGUGACUCUCCCCAGGCGAUUGUAUUCCAUGCCUCACUUCCAGGUAGCAAAACUAGUAGUAGAAGGUUCAUAUUGAAAAGACAUGCUUUCAUGGGAAACUUGGGGGUCAGAAAAGGAGCUUUGCCAUUUCCUGAAAGCAACAGCCCAUGUUCCUCUUCCAGUUCAACUCAGUGCCCAACUCAUUGUCCAGCUGUAUCUUAGUGUCACAGUAUACAUAUUUUUGGACAAACUGUAUAAAUUAUCCAUCUAAAUGCAUGCUCAAGUCUGGACAGUACACUUUCUUUAUUCACUUAGUCUUUCUUGCGUAUGUGGGCAAGACAAACUAUGUCCAGCAAUUACAGAACUCUUUCAAGGGCUCAGCAAAGUUAGAGGGCUUAAUGAAGUCAGCACAAUGCCAUCCACUAACAGCAGUGUCUGGAAACUGACACCAUCUACAAGGAAUCUCUGUUAGAAAUUAUACUGGAUUUUCUGCAUCACAGUGGCAAAUACCUUUGGCUGGUUCGUUGAGCCAAAUCUGCACUUUCAUGAUGACAGAUGGACAAAGGGAAACGCAGACAAGACAGUAUUAAUGCUACAACUCCUUCUCAGACUUGAAAGGAAGAAGAGCUCCAGUCAACAGCAUGAUUCAUCUCUUCAUUCUACAGCACCGAACAUUCUUGGGAGAUCUCCCACAUAAGCCGUGGUGUGAUCCAAUCUUGUAGCGUCAAACGAUUUCCAAGUCCAAAAUGAUGUAAACACACAUUCAGAGCAAAAGUAGACAUGCGGAGACAUAAAUAAAGGGAAGAAGGAAGGCUCUGAGACCAAGAUAUAUUUUGGUGAGACUAAAUCUUGUAUCUUUGAAGUCAGCUAUCAAGCCAGGAAUUGUUCCGUUAUUAAGGCCAUGUGUGGCUUGAAACACUUGAACAAACCAGACCUUCAAUAAAUGUGGCCAAACUGCCAGCAGUGUGUGGGUUUGGAUUUUUCUCACUGCAGCAGGAAAUAGUAUUAAUUCAGGCCAGGGUGGUAUACACAGUGGCAUAUCUCAAUUUUUAUGACCCAUGGCUCGGAGCCGACUUUGGCUGGGGGGUGGGGUGGGGUGGGGGGAUGGCAAACCUCUGUAGAAGUCUGCUGCCAUCCAACUAAAGAGAAGAGAAAUUCUGGUUUCGUAUUUUUUUUUUGCCUUUGUUUCCCUUACCUUGAAGAUUUACAUGUGGUGAAUAUUUCUCCAUCCAAGAAACUGAUCAUAUUGAAAGAACGUAUCACCUCUCAUGUAGCAUUCCAGGAAAAAAAAAUGGCAAGUAAUAAGUGUGACUGGGAAGUGAACCUAUGACUGGAGACUGAAGCCAGAAUUUCUGCAUUCCUCGCAAGUACCCAUAGUUCCUUUAAUUAUACUUGGGGCUUGUAAACAGGAAAGUGUUUCACAGAUGUAGAGAAUCCAAGAGGUAAGCCAAAAAAAUAAAAUAAAUAAAUGGUCCAGCAGAACCACACGAGAUGAAAAGGAAGAUAGAAUUACUAAGAAGAUGAAUUUACUGUAGGAAUAAUAGCAACAACAAUGCUGACAUAUGAAAAACAUUAAUUGUUUAAGAAAACCAUGGAGGCUGUGGGAGUUGUCCCUGUUGAUAAAUAUGGGUAAGAUGUAAGAAAGACAAGACCAAAGAGAAAUACUUUUUUGAAAGGAUCAAACUUCAGAGAUCUAUAAAACCCACCAUUCCACAUUGUUCAUUCUUGGUCUUUUUCUAAUGAAUUCAGUUUCACCUUAUUCCAUUCCUUUUCUACUGAUCAGUUCUUUAGGAUCAUAGAUUUAAAGUUUGAAGGAUCUUUUGUCUAAAGCUCCAAUGAAAAUAGUCGCCUUCUCUUUAACUUACUAUCUAUCUUGGGUAGUCUAUUUACCUCUAUUAAUUUGUUUCCUCAUCUGAAAAAGAGGAAGAAUAAUGAUUAGAUGACUUAUCAGGUCCCUUCUUGCUUUAAAACAUGUGAUCUUUUUUAUGUUGGGUAUGACCAGCUUAAAAUAUUGCAAUCUUGAUGCGUUAGAGGGAUUGUAAAUCCAUUUUCUAAAUUUUGAAAUGUCCCAGCACCUAGAAAAACCACAUGAAAUCCUUUACUGCUGGGGAAAUUUUUCCAUGAAGAAUUAGGAAGAUGGUCCACUCAUUAUCACUUGUUUAUCACUUGCUUCAUUAGUACACUAAGCGUGAACACCACAAACAUGUUAUCUCAUUUACGGUCUCAGCAUUCUUCUCUUACCCCCUGCUCUCUCCUUGGCAGGAAGUCACUGUGGUGACAUCUGUUUCUUGUAGAGCUCUCAAGACCUACAAGCGGCUUCUUUGUGUUUAAGCCAUGAAUUUUUGUCUUUCUUUUUUCUCCAGGUAAAGUUCUUAGGCUACAAUGAAGGCAAGAUGAAUGCUGGAAACUAAAGCAAAAAAGGAAAAGGCAGAAAAAGGAGGACCUAUUCCUUUGAGUGUUGUCUCAACUUUCCAUGCAGUUUAAUUUGCCAUUAAAAAAAAGAAGUCCCACUGGAAGUUUUCACACAUCCUUCUUCCCAUUAUAUAAUGGAUCAGUAAAAACUUAUCCUUUUCAAAGAAAAAUCCAGUAAGCCACCUGAUUGAAACCAUUAAAAAUGUGAAUUAUGCAUGUGAAAUAGGCUCAUUCCUUUCAGUGAAUUUCUCAUCAUUUGGAUUCACCUGGUGUUUGAGACUAUGGAGCUUUGAAGAAAAUCCAGUGCAGAGUGAAAUUUCGGAGGGCAGAGCAAACCAGGCGAAACCAAAUGAUGAGAGCUGUCAUUGCAUCUGCUGCGGGAUGAAAUUGGCAAGUUUCGCCUGGCUCUAAUCACAUGUGGAAAAUAAUCUUGAUGGCUUCAUCCUCGGCUCUAAAGGAAGCAAGCAAGGAAGGCAGCAAGGAAAGAAGGAAGAGAAAGAAGAAACAAAGAAAGGAAGCAAGCAAGGAAGAGAAACAAAGGUAACAUGGUGUGUGUGGUGGCAAAAGAGCAGUCCUUAAGCCAAGAAGAUCUGGUUCCGAGCCCUUCAUGUGACCCUGGACAAAUCAAUGAACCUCCAAGUACUGCUCUAGAGAACACGAAGACUCUGAGGUUCUGACAGUCAUUGUUAAAAGUUUUGUCAUCUAAGAGUUCCCUACAGAAGUGAAAUCACAAGCUCAGUCUUCCCUUUGCAUACUGAACAUUCAAUGGGAUAUGGAUAGCCUGCAUAGCUUCAACGACUUGAAAAUCUCUUGGACUUUUGAAAAUUCAGAGGCUAUUUUGCAAAAACACAAAAACAAACAAGCAGUUUGCCGACAAGUCUAAAUGUUUUUUAUGGUUUUUUCCCCUUAUAAUUUCUCCCUCUCCCUUUUCAUUUGGCUUUUCCUCCUUUCUGUAUUUGUCGUAUUAUUGGUUUGGUUGCUUCGUUGUUAUUUCCAAGCUUAGCAGAGGACUUAGAAUUUAGCAAAUUUUAAUAAAUGUGUAUUAUCUUGUGGAUUUGUUAUCCAUUUUUUUAUCCAUUCCCUCUGACCUAGCUUUCCACUUCAGGGUUAGACAAGAAUAUUACAUACAAUCAUUUAAUAAGGCAUAGAAUGCCCCCUUGUUCCAUGAUCUUAUUUAAGAGCUUUCAUAUGAACAAAAUCAAUGUAAUUAGGAAAAGAGAUAAAGCAUCAUAUAUAAAUAUAUAUUUCAAAUAGACUUGACAAAAAUAUGAUAUGGAAAAUAUAGAGCAUAUUGACAUAAAUAUUUAAGAGAAACAGCCUCUCCCUCAAAAAAAAGGGGUCAAAGUUUGGGGCAAUUUUCAGAAAACUACAAAUAAUCAGCCCCUCUAUUUUUAAGUGCUCUAAAUCACUAAUAAUGAGGAAAGGUACAGCCUUGGUAUCAUUCUCAAUUCCUGACUCUCAUCACUAAUACGUAGUCAAUUGCUAAGUCUUGUCAUUUCUAUCUCCACCACAAACUCUGAUAACACGGUGUGUUUCCUUUCCCUCCCAUUUCACUUGCUUAGAAUUCUCUCCUUCCUCCAUCUGACUUCUGGUCCCACAGAGUCGCUUCCAUCUUUCCUCUGAGGCUACUAUCUGUUUUGCUCCCAUUUUUAGAAUGUAAUUGUAUGUGUCUGUGUUUGUGUAUACCCGUUUCUGAGAGCCUGCACAUGGAUCGAGGACGGAUGUUGGGAUACUGCCAUUAGGAUUUAAUAUCUUGGACAGUAAGGACCGUUUUUGAUGCCUGUUUUAGCUGCAGUGCCUACCACAGGACACGGCACAUGAUUUAAUAACCGUUUUUAAAUGAUUACCAAUGAAAACAACUGAGAUUUCACUUCACACCCAUCAAAACUGCAAAGAUGAUUUUUUAAAAAGAGAGCCGUUCAUGUGUAAGAGAUUGAGAGAAAGCAGAAGACUCUUCCACCACUGGGAAACUGUAGAUGGAUCUAACUGUUGGGGAAAAACAACUCGCAACCAUAUCAAAAAGUCUAACUUCCUCCUCUUUGACCUGUAAUGCCACUUCAGCUACAAGGGAAUUGAGGACCGAAGGGGUAGAAGUGUGUGUACACACCAUACACACACACACACACACACACACACACACACACACACACACACACACACACUUCAUAAUUCUUUGUAGUAACAGAAAAGUAGAGAAUCAAACGUGCAUUGCUGUUUUGUGUAAAUUCUUUUAUGAAAUGACGUUUUCUGUAAUUUUCUGUCAUCUUCCUCUGAAAUGGUUUGUCAAUAAGCUCAUACUACAAAGUAAUGAGGUUCUUGCUUGCCAUCUUUCUCUGCUACCUGAGGAGGUUUUGGCCUUCUCUUGGCAAAAACUGUUUUACCUAAUGAAUUAAAUGUCACUAAGAAUAAGGACAGUUAAGAAUCUAUACUUUUAUCCAGUCCCAUUUUUUAGAGUUUAUAACCUGUUUAAAUAUCUUUCCUUGAAGUGACUGUUGUCCCAAGGAGGAUCUUUUUCUUCUUUCUAGUAAUUUGGAAUUGAUUUGGAUCAUUGCUCUAGUAAGUUGAUAAUUGGAAUCUGCACAGUAAAUUGAUAAUGAAAUGACAUGAAGAAAGAAUCAUUUUCUGCCCAUUACAAAAUAUCAAUACUCACAGAGGAAUUUUAUGAAAACGACCACAAAGCACUCUUCAGAACUAAAGGAAAAUAUAAAUAAUUGGAGCGAUAUUAUUUGCUCGUAUUUGGGAGAACAUAAUAGAAAUGAUGAUGCCACUAAGAUUAAUUUAUAAAUGUUGGCCUUCCAAUUACACUGGAAAAUAAUUGUUUAAAAACUGGAAAACAAUAAUAAAUUCAUCUGUAAGAACAAAAGGUCAAAGAUCUGAAGGAAAAUAAUGAAGGGAAAAAAUUGGAAAGACAGAAGCCUAGAACUAGAUAGUAUAAAAAAAAGUAAUCAUCAAACUAUUUGUGCCACAUUUCCUAGUCACAAAAAUGACUGACAAAAGAGAAAAGCUGAUCAAGGAAUAGGUUAGGCACAAAAUACGCAGAAGCAAUUGAACAUGGUUGACACAGUCUUCAGGAAGCCAAAGUCACCCUCUAUUUGGGUCAGGACCGCUCUCUGGUGCAUGACAAACUACUAAGGGGAGACUAAAGCCUUAAAGCUUAAGAACAACUUUAUACAACAAUGGUAUCUGGGCAUGGACUUCUUUGUGUUUUCCCUAAGUUAUGGAAAUGUUCAUUUGUUUAUUGAGGGGAUAUAUUUCUGCAAUGUUUUAAUGAGCAUUAUUGAUCAAAGAAGCAAUAGCUGUUUUAUAGGUUAUUUAUGGGAAAUAAUUUAAAGACUUUUUGCUCUCUUAAAAAGGACCGCUUUUAAUUUGAAGAAGGAUGUUCUUAUAGAUGUGGGGAAAUAGAAGUGUUGAACAAAAUAUAUUUAAAAGCACUUGAAGGUAGCCUCAAUACCAUACCUCAUACCACAAUAGACUCCAAAUGGUAUGCCCUAGAUAUAAAAUGUCAAAUGAUAAACAAAUUAGAGAAACAGAGAACUUUUCACAACUAUUCAUUCUUGACUAAACAUGAGAGAAAGAUAAUAAUCAGAUAUAAAAUACAUAAUUUUAAUUACACAAUAUAGAACAAAUUUUGCAAAAACAAAAUCAAUUGGCAUAUAAUUAGAAGAGAGCAACUAACUUGGGAAAUAAUGUUUAGAGCAAAAUUAUCAGACAAAUCCGAUAAAGAAAGAACAAGAACCAUUCUUCAAUAGAUAGAUGAGCAAAGGACAUAAACUAGCAGUUCUCUAAAUAAGGCA